CCGAGACACAGUCAUUGGCUAACUGUCCAGGGAAGAAGAUGGUUCAACACCCAGACAGCCUUUUUCUGGUACUUCACCAAAAAGAUCCAAGAAACAAUAAUCGCUACUUCUGAUUAUUGCCUGUCAGGGCCACCAAAAAAAAAAAAAAAAGGCACCAACUUGUGUUGAAACAUAAAGAACUUAAUCCAUUGUCUGGCUGUGCUGGUUGAUUGAUUGUCUCCCAAUUUAAUAUCCAUCCAUUUUACAAAAUAUAACCAAGAUGCUGAUGGAAUAAAAAAGUGAUAUUCUUCUGAGGAACUUCUAGUGGCAGGAAAUCUCAGCAAACUUGGAUUUAUUCAAAAGAAAAUAAAAUCCCUUCCCAAGCAGCAAAAACAACAAGAAGGAAUUCUCAAAGGCAGAGAAGCUCCUUUUUAGGUCUUUCAUCACUGAAAAAAAAUUAAAGAAAACAAAAUAGGGAACCAAAUAUGAGGAAAAAAUUAAUGGAAACUAAAAAGGGUUUUCCCCUCCAGCCCUCUUCUCUGUAAUGUAUUUAUUCUCCAAAGAAAAUCUACAGCCCAUGCAACGUCACAACGGCAUUCUUUAGUGGAAGGAGAGUUGAACCUCCUUGAACCUAGUAUCAAGUCCCUACUCUGAAGCUUCUUAUCUGAUGAUAUCUCCUGCUAAG